UACAGAGGGGGCAAGCGUUGUUCGGAAUUACUGGGCGUAAAGGGCGCGUAGGCGGCCUUCUAAGUCGAACGUGAAAUCCCUGGGCUCAACCCAGGAACUGCGUCCGAUACUGGAAGGCUUGAAUCCGGGAGAGGGAUGCGGAAUUCCUGGUGUAGCGGUGAAAUGCGUAGAGAUCAGGAGGAACAUCGGUGGCGAAGGCGCUCUGCUGGACCAUAACUGACACUCAGGGACGAAAGCUAGGGGAGCGAAUGGG
rnacentral:rRNA from 1 species